rnacentral:rRNA from 1 species
UACGAAGGGGGCUAGCGUUGCUCGGAAUUACUGGGCGUAAAGGGCGCGUAGGCGGCGCUGCAAGUCAGGCGUGAAAUUCCUGGGCUUAACCUGGGGGCUGCGCUUGAGACUGUGGUGCUAGGGGACGGAAGAGGGUCGUGGAAUUCCCAGUGUAGAGGUGAAAUUCGUAGAUAUUGGGAAGAACACCGGUGGCGAAGGCGGCGACCUGGUCCGUUACUGACGCUGAGGCGCGACAGCGUGGGGAGCAAACAGG